ACCAGCUCAUAGAGUGGUGAUCGUGAUUAUUUGGCUUAAAGUGUGCGUAGCAGGGAAUUCUAAGUCCUCUGUGAAAUGUCAGGUCUUAAGCUUGACACGUGCAGAGGAUACUGGAAUCCUUGGGACUGGGAUAGGUGUAAUGUACGGUUUGGGUAGGGGUGAAAUCCGAUAAUCCAAGCCGGACAACCGGUGGCGAAGGCGUUACACUGGAACAGGUCCGACUGUGAGGCACGAAAGCUAGGGUCGCGAGCCGG
rnacentral:rRNA from 1 species